AACUCUUUAGUAUAUUAAGUACGGUUAAUUUCCAAUUAACAGGUAUUAAGGGUUA
rnacentral:tRNA from 1 species